rnacentral:lncRNA from 1 species
ACUAACUAAUGUUAAUAUUAUAAUAACCUUAUCAAGUAUACAAUUCUAUGAUGAAUUAUCAUCUUGACCAUGAAUGUGUAGAUAGCAUAUUCACGCUAGCUGUUCCCUUAUAAAGUUUAAGAAAUUAAGUUGAGUGUAAACCAAUUUUUGAUCAUGCCAGUGACCAGUGUAAAAUGUCAGUAAAUGUGCGCAGUUUUCUACAGUUCCGAAAAUAAUAGCUUCUCAAAAACACAGAGCUAAUUAGUACCUAUAUAAGGUAUAAGUUUAAUAUAUAUGUACCUACCUAUGUAAUUUAAUGAUUGUUCACUUACUUCAGGGUUCCUAUUUUUUUAAUCAAUGUUUAGAUGACUUGCUUUCUUCUUUUAAUGGACACGCGAAGAAUAAGUUUCUUGGAGAGCAAACAAAUAAGACAUUGGACAGCUGUCGAGCUGAAACUGCAGCAGGAGUAGACUGCGGAGCUCGUGACUGCGUAAUACUCGACAGAUGAACAUCGAAAUAUAUUAAAUUAGUUCAGCGCGGUGUUCAUAUACGGUCUUUCACACGUGGGCGUCGUCAUUCGAAUCUUCAUUUGAAAAAAAUAAUGAAUCCAUACACCAACGAUAAGCAGACAAGGCGGUCAAGUGCUGAGCAGAAUUGUAGUGCUAAGCAAAUACAGGAUAACUGCAGUCAAUAUGAUUGUUGAGAAACAGCAAAUAAUAUUUUUAAAAGUAUAUCAAGCCUUAAAAUAGCGCUUAUUCAAAAAAUGUAUCAAAACUUGUGCUGAUAUAUCUAAUUUUACACCUAGAAUUGGUUGAACACUUUUAAUUUCAGCCUUGAGUUUUUAAGGAGAAAAUGGGCAUCUUAAAAUAAAUAUUGGAGUACCAAGCGAAAAAUUGAAAGCUAUUUAAUAAUUAAAUAAUAGUAAAUAAAAUGACAACUUUUAAUAUGCGAC